rnacentral:rRNA from 1 species
CCUACGGGUGGCAGCAGUAGGGAAUAUUGCUCAAUGGGGGAAACCCUGAAGCAGCAACGCCGCGUGGAGGAUGACGGUUUUCGGAUUGUAAACUCCUUUUGUUAGAGAAGAUAAUGACGGUAUCUAACGAAUAAGCACCGGCUAACUCCGUUCCAGCAGCCGCGGUAAUACGGCGGGUGCAAGCGUUACUCGGAAUCACUGGGCGUAAAGCGCGUGUAGGCGGGAUAGCAAGUCUGCUGUGAAAGCCUAUGGCUUAACCAUAGAAUUGCGGUGGAAACUGUUGAUCUAGAGUAUGGGGGAGGUAGGAGGAAUUCUUGGUGUAGGGGUAAAAUGCGGAGAGAUCAAGAGGAAUACUCAUUGCGAAGGCGGCCUGCUAGAGCGUUACUGACGCUGAUGCGCGAAAGCGUGGGGAGCGAACAGGAUUAGAUACCCUAGUAGUC